CUUAGCCCAAUUGUUACAGCCAAAUUGUCAACAGCACUGCAGGGAAACCCAGAUCUCCUCCUAGCUAUCUUCCAAACCCAAAUCCUCGCAAUUUCUUCAGGAAACUAGUGAGGUUCCAGGAGUUGAUGGAGCAGGUGUUGUGCCUUCCAGCUCAGGGAAAGGACAGUUUUGUAGUGACAGAUAACUCAGUUAACUCCCCAAAUCCUCCUCUCCAAUGUCUUCUCCUUCUAGAAUCUUUUCCCAGCUUUCAUGGUUAAAUUCUCCUCUCUCCCUUUUAGAGACAACUUUUGCAUUUUCUCUUAUCCCGUAUUGCUCUUUCCUUACAUGGUCUCAGAGAGAAUUAAUAUGAGAAAGAGGCUAUAAAUUGAAUCCUUAUGAGUCCUAGUCCAGUAAUAAUUGGUUGACCUUAAUCAGCUUGAAUUCCAGGGGAAAAGAAGUUUCAAUUGAGGCAUCAUUUUAAUUUUAAAUAGUUAAUGUUCAUAUAUCUACUGAUGAGCUCUCUCUCUCUCUCUCUCUCUCUCUCUCUCUCUCUCUCUCUCUCUCUCUCUCUCUGUCUCUCUCUCUCUCUCUCUCUCUCCCUGUCUCACUCUGUCUUCAAUUGUGUUGAUCUCUCACCAUUUUACAGAGAAUAAUGCAACGGUUCGUGAGAAUAAUGCAACGGAACGUGAGAAGAAUGUUAUAGAACGUGAGAAGAAUGUUGCAGAACGUGAGAAACUUUUAGAGAGUGAGAAUCUUAAGGCUGAGAACAAUUGAACUGAGAUGGCCUUGAAACCCAGAGCACAAGUAUGGAGUGAACAUGGAUGUCCUGACUUAUGUGCUGGUCAUGAAGAAAUUCAAUUCAGGAAAGUACUGCUGGGAGGUGAAUGUGGAAGGAAAGAUGGAGUGGGCCCUGGGGCUCUAUAAGGACUCAAUAUGCAAUGAGGAAGAAGCAGACUUCACACCAGAAACUGGAUUCUUGAGUAUUUGUCUUGUUAAUAGUGACACUUACCGGGCUCUCUGCAGACCCUGGAUCCAACUCCAGAUGGUAGUGGUCCCCAAGACUAUGGGGAUUUUCUUGGACUAUGAAACAGGCACAAUCUCCUUCUACAAUGCUACUGAAUCAACUCACAUUCAUACUUUUCAUGACACCUUCAAGGAAGAUGUGAGGCCUUAAAGCUACCCUGACUUGUUCUUUAGCGGGGAAAAUCAGAAUUCUGUGCUCCACAUAAAAAGGGUCUCUGAGAGAAAAUGUUAUAUUUAAAACUAAUAUACAUCUGCCAUUUAUUAUUUUUCAUAAAGUUUAUUAAUAAUCAUUUGAGAUAAUAAAGGUAUAU